UCGGAUUGUAGUCUGCAACCCGACUACAUGAAGCUGGAAUCGCUAGUAAUCGCGGAUCAGAAUGCCGCGGUGAAUACGUUCCCGGGUCUUGUACACACCGCCCGUCACACCAUGGGAGUCGGAAAUGCCCGAAGUCUGUGACCCAACCUUAGGGAGGGAGCAGCCGAAGGCAGGUCGGAUGACUGGGGUGAAGUCGUAACAAGGUACC
rnacentral:rRNA from 1 species